rnacentral:RNase_P_RNA from 1 species
GCAAGUGCCACAGAAAAUAUACCGCCUCGAUUCAUCGGGGUAAGGGUGAAAACGUGAGGUAAGAGCUCACGGCUUUUCCGGGCAACCGGGAUUGCGGUAAACCUCAGGAGUUGAAAAACCAAAUAGGUCCUGGACGCGGAGCUGCUCGCUUCCUAAUCUAUCUGCGUAAGCAGGUAAUUUGCCAGGAUGGGUAGGUUGAUUGAACCUGUUAGCGAUGACAGGGCCAGAUUAAUGAUAGAAGCCAUUAUUUAUAAUGGAACAGAACCCGGCUUAUAGCUUUGCUGCUGAU